rnacentral:rRNA from 1 species
ACCUGGUUGAUCCUGCCGGUAGCGCUAUGCUUGUUCAAAGUUUCCCCUGCACGUCUCAGUACAUGCCGCGAAAGUAUAAGGCGGAAACCGAAAGGGUUUCUUUUAAAAUCAGUCACGGUUCUUUGGGAUCGUGACGCGUUAUUUGGGAAUAACUGUGGCAAUUUUGAGCUAAUACAUGCAGCCGAGCUCCCCCCCCCCUCCGGGUGGGGAGACGAGCGCUUUUUUGGGGUUCUUUCCCAGGCCAGCGAUGGCCGAGGAGGGAAGCGAAGUUGAGUUUUUUGGGCCCGUUUCCAAGGGCUCGCCCCGGCGCCACCCCCCGGUUCGCCUUAUCAACUGUCGACGGUAGGUGAUGCCCCCUACCGGGGUUCGCCAGGGGUGAGGGGGAAGGGGGGUUCGUUUCCCGGAGAGGGAGCCUGAGAAACGGCUACCACAUCUAAGGGAAGGCAGCAGGCACGCAAAUUCCCCAAUCCCGGCGGGGGGAGGUGGUAAAAAAACGACGCUGGACCCCUACGAGACCCAGUCGUCGGAAUGAUUUUGGCUCAAAACCCUCUAACGAGGACCCUCCCGGGGGCAAGACAAAUGCCAGCCGCUGCGGUAAUUUUAGCUCCAGUGGCGUAUCCCCUAAAAUUGUUGCUUUAAAAAAGCUCGUAGUUGGAUUUUCUGCUCUUUUUUGGGGCCGCUCGCGCGGGUCCCCCAAAUCGCCCCCGGCAUUCUGCUCGCCACGGGGGCCGGCCACCGGCCCGGCCCUCGGUGGCCCGGGUUAUCGCUUUGAAAAAGGGGGGGAGUGCUUCGCGGGCUACCCAGGCUCGGUUAUAAUGCACGGUACGAUGGAACUGACUUGGGAUCUAGGUCCCGGGGACAGACGGAACCGAGGUGAUGAUUAAUAGGAGCAGACGGGGCUUUCCCGUAUUCCGACGCUAGGGUGAAAUUUUGGACCGUCGGAAGACGACCCACUCAAAAAGCAUUUCCAAAUGUUUCCAACCCAAAGAACAAAAGUCAGAGGCUAAAAGAAGAUUAAAAUACCUUUGUAGUUCGGGCCCUUUAAACGAUGCCAGCCAGCGAUCCGGCUGGGUACGGUUGUGACGCGCCGGCGCUCGCCCGGGGAAAACCUAAACGGGCCUGGGGAAGUAUGGUUGCAAAGCGAAACUUAAAGGAAUUGACGGAGGGGCACUAAAGGGUGGAGCCCCAGGCAAUUUUCGACUCAACACGGGAAAAACUCACCCGGCCCGGACGUUUUAGGACGAAUUACAAAUUGAUCCCCUUUUGGGGAAUAUGUGGAUGGUGGUGCAUGGCCGCAGUUGGUUCGUGGGGUGACCUGUCUGGUUGAUUCCGAAAAAGGGAACGAGAUUCCCGUUCAAAUACGUCUCCCCGUUCGAGGGGGGUUGAAAAAGUCUUCUUAGAAGGACCGGGGGUUUCGAAGCCGUACGAGGGGGCGAUUCGGGUCUGUGAUCCCAAGAUGCCCGGGGCCCCCGUGCGCUACAGUAGAGGGGGAAAGGGCCGGGGUUUUCCCUUCCGUCGGCCUGGGAACCAUUUCAGUCCCUCUCGUGCGGGGGAUAGGGGAUUGAAAUUUCCCCCUCCAACGAGGAACCCCCGAGGCGCGGGUCAUUAACUCGUGCCGCCCGGUCACACCCUUUGUACACACCGCCCGUGUUGUUCCGAUUGAACGGUGGGUGAGGUCUUCGGACCUGCUUAUCCGUCGGCCCCUGUGGGCCCAGUGGACUGGGGGGGGAAUUUCCCGAACUUGGCCGCUUGGGAGGCAAAGUCUCUUUUUCCGUAGGUGAACCUGUGGAAGGAUCAUU